rnacentral:rRNA from 1 species
UACGGAGGGUGCUAGCGUUGUUCGGAAUCAUUGGGCGUAAAGCGCGUGUAGGCGGCUUGGCAAGUCAGUUGUGAAAGCCCGGGGCCCAACCCCGGAAUUGCAUCUGAAACUGCCUGGCUAGAGUCCCGGAGAGGAAGGCAGAAUUCCCGGUGUAGGGGUGAAAUCCGUAGAUAUCGGGAGGAAUACCAGCGGCGAAGGCGGCCUUCUGGACGGUGACUGACGCUGAGACGCGAAAGCGUGGGGAGCAAACAGG